rnacentral:rRNA from 1 species
UACAGAGGUCCCAAGCGUUGUUCGGAUUUACUGGGCGUAAAGGGCGCGUAGGCGGCGCCGCAAGUCGGCUCGUGAAAGCCCGGGGCUCAACCCCGGGAGGCGGAUGGAUACUGCCAGGCUCGAGUCCGGAAGAGGCAAGUGGAAUUCCCGGUGUAGCGGUGAAAUGCGCAGAUAUCGGGAGGAACACCAAUGGCGAAGGCAGCUUGCUGGGACGGUACUGACGCUGAGACGCGAAAGCGUGGGGAGCAAACAGG